rnacentral:misc_RNA from 1 species
CGUCAUUUAGAGGAAGUAAAAGUCGUAACAAGGUUUCCGUAGGUGAACCUGCGGAAGGAUCAUUAACACGUGAUACUCACGUAUUAACAAACCCACCGAGAAUAUGUUUUCUAUCCUAUUGUUGAUUGUAAGCAGACAAAAUGAGAAUUUGCUAUGAGGCCGCCCUUGUGAUCGUAAAAAAUUACAUUGUACGCUUCAGACUCAUCCGUCGUUCUAUGGUCCGCCCUGGAGUUUGCACCAACAAAUAGUUGACGAAUUACGACUGCUUAUUAAGCCUGUAGCAAAGCUUGCAGCUCGUAGUGAAAUAUUAACCCCUUUUUCUAUUAUUUACUGAUUUGUAUGUUUAUAUGAAUUCCUGACUUUCGGGUUGGUUGAGUUUAUAUAGAUGUCGUAUAUUACUAAUACGAAACAACUCUUAGCAACGGAUAUCUUGGUUCUC